GUGGACUGAGACACCCAGAAACUGUGAGCUCAAGUCACACAGUUUUCUGUUUUGUUACAGUAAUGCAAAAUGAACACACACCCCUUAGACUCCUACAAGAGCAUCCAGUUGUCCUCGUCAAGGUGCAGUUGAAACAGCAUCAGGAAUGUGUUGUCCGGUUGACUCAGAAGCCCCAGGAUGACUGUGAGACCAAAGGGUGGAGGCUCAGCAGAGAGCACAGAGGAAGAUACAUCUAUAUGCUACUUGCUGCUUAGAUUUCCAGAGAGCAAACAGCGA
rnacentral:lncRNA from 1 species